rnacentral:lncRNA from 1 species
UGGGAUGAUUAUAUAUCUGAAAUCAUGGAAUUGACCACCUGGGAAUUCCCUUUUAUCAAACAGCAUGAAAAACAAAGAAGCCCCACAAAAAGGUGAUGCCUGCAGGGCUCAAGAAAUAAAUAAAUAAACCCCCCAUGAUUGGAAUUCUAAACAAUCUUGAUGUGAAACAGCCAGCAUGUAAAAGUAAUGUGCCCUUUUCUGGUCCAUGGAAUGUGUUAGUUUAUUUUUCACUGUACACAAAAACAACAGAAUCAGAUUGUUUUGCAAUGCUUCCUGGAUAUGGAUUGUUUCAUUUUAAACUUUUCCAGAAGAAAGUUACUGAAACAAACAAUGAACAUAAAGCAUUUAACUUGAGAAUAAAAAAAUAGUGGCGCAGGGAUAUAAAAUUCAAUAAACAUGAAAGAUCAGUAAAAUAAGAGCAAAGAAGCAACUGAUUGAAGGGUACACUUUCCCCAUCAAUUAUAAGGGAAGGGAAAGAGACAUUGAGAGGUUUUUGUGGUCAUAUGAUGUCUCAAUUUCAUUGGACUAACAAGAAAAUCCCAUGUCUUAGUGAAAAUUUUCAUGGAAGAUUUUCUUUUGACCAAGGAAUUUUUAUUUUUCUUUUCUUUUUCCCCCUUCUUAAACUUGAAUAUUUCUGAAUAUCAGAACCAGUUUUUGUCAUUGUGUCUGUGUUUUCUCUUGAAGUUUUUCAGAAAGAGAGAAACACAAUAGAAGGAAUAGACAGCUUUCUAACAUAUAGCAGUUGGAAUAGAGUUCCAAAAAACAACAAGGUUAGGGGAAUUCAAUCAUUUGAUUAAAAAUCUAUUAAUAUAAUUGCAAGCCCUGUUCAUCAGAUAAUAACAACUAGCUGACAAACCACUGAUUUGGAAAAACUGAUCAGUUGAAACAUCUGAUACCAAAAAAAAAAAAAAAAGAAAACCCAUAAGCUCACAACAAUCCAAAGUUCAAUCUGAGUUUCACCAUGUUGACAUCAAAGUAAAGAUCUAGACUAGACUACUUACCCAUCUUAUAAGUUUAUCAUAUAAUCGAUUGAGUUAAGCUGUCUUGGAAUUUAUUU